UCUUGUGCCCAGAGAGGGGAAGGAAGGGCUCGUGGCCACGCAGCACACAGGGGUCAAGCGGGCGCUACCACCUGCCGCGUGCUACCAGGAAUGCAUUGGAGCCUCAUGGGCACUGGAGGUAGACGCUUCUCUUCUCCCGUUUCACAGACAAGGAAACCGAGGUGACUCCCCAGCCCAGGCCCAAGCACCUUUCCAGGCCUCUGCCGUGGGAGGUGCACCUCCAUCUCCCCCACGUCCUGGGUCAGCCCUCGGGGACUGCAGCCCCUGCCCACUAGGCUGGUGCCAAGGAGCACCGGCUCCUGGAAACCCAGAGAAGGCAGGCAACUCUUCCUCGUUGUCCUGGAGAUGCCGCCGAAGUCAGCCUGCUUGCCCUGCUGCCAGGGCUGCUGGGGACCCCAUGGAUGCCCACCCGGCCAGACACAGCUCCCGUCAUUAAAUAUGGCAAAGUGUGGCACCGGCUCCACAGACCCUACCGUGGAAGAGAGAGGUCCUACUCUUGCUGUCCUGGUAGAAGACGAGGCCCAGAGAGGGGCAGGACCCACUCAAGGCUGCACACCCCUGCCCUUCUUCUGAGGCUGUGGAAAUGGAGUCUCAGGGAGCCAGGGUCAGACAGGGGACACAUCCGGCUUCCUGACUCCCCACUCCAUCUUCACUCACUGCCAUCAGGUGCCCAGCGAGGCUCUCAGAAGCCCGAACUCUCUGUCCAGGGGCUGCCUCACUGGCCUGGACCCUGGGGGCUGCGGGGUCCUCCGGCUGGUCCCGAACUGGACUUCCCUGCCUCACCAUCCAGCUGCCCCAGGAUGGCCGUGAUGUGAGGUGGCACUCUCAUCCCCACCCAGCAGGAGGGACUCCCUGGGACAACACCCUGGAAGAGGUGAUGCCACAGCCAAAGCUGGAAGCCCGGUCUGCCAGCUCCCGUGCUGCAAGCCUACCUCAAAGUGCGAGCAGGUAGGCGCCCAUCUGUCCGUCCCUUACCAAACCUGUGCCCCAGGGCAGGCCUGAGCCGGGAGAGAGGGAUCCAGAUGACCAGAUGUGCCCCACACCCCCAGCCAGGGACUCUCAUUCUGGGACUGGGACAGAAGAGCGAGUCACAGCCGUGUGGCCAAUCGAUUUCGGUCCUCAUCUGCAGGGCCUGGGAAGGAGCUGGGCCCGAGAUGGGCCACCUGGGUCCCAGGCCUCGGGGGUCCCUGGGACAGCCCCGUCAGGGUUGACUGUGUCCGGCCCAGCAGGCAGCGUUUUGGCCUGGGGCCCUGCCUCCCGCUGUCUCUCCCAUGGCCUCUCCGCUUGGCCAAAAGUCACCUGGUCACUCCCUGGCUCUUAAAUUUGCGGGAGGCCGGUGGCAUUUCUCCAGACUCCCAGCCUUCCUAAUUUAUGUGCUGCUUGGUGGGGAGUAUUUUCUCUAAAAACAGGAUGAUGUGAGAAAAACAAUCAUGCCCCCAAACCACACUUAAUGGGUGGGUCGGGCUGGCUCGUUAGCGCUGAAUAAUCGGGCUUCAACCGCACCGCUGGGGAACACAAAUAAACAAGGGCACCAAGAGAAUAGGGGUGGGGGUUCCAGGCUUGGGGGGUGCUGCGCUUGUCAUCCAGGUGCGUGGGGGUGCAGGGGACACCGCCUGAGGGCUCCCCGCAGCAUGGGACGUGAGCGCCCCUGCACUGCAGCCACCGUGCUGGGCACCCACCUUGGGAAAGGUCACUGGGACUCGGUGCUGGUGUGUGUGUGGGGGUGGGGUGAGGCAGGCCCAUCCGCCCUCCCCUGGAGGAAACCCUUUGUGGUGAACCGAAAACCUGCUCGGUAAGUUAAGCUUGUUUCCUCCUGCCUGGUCCUCAGGAAAGAUGGGGAACAGCUGGUCACCACCCUUUCUCUAAUAAAUCCCAUCAGACUGCAUGCUGGGGGAGGGGCUGAGGGGCGAUGGGAAAGGAUGGGGGUCCCGCCAGCUCCCCUCAUCUGGCUGGACACAGUGGGACAGGCCCAGCCCCUGCCUCUGAGGCCCGGGGAGAGGUGCAGAUCCCCAUCGACCCCCGACUCCUGGUUAUCCAAAGGGAAGACCCUAGCGGGGCUUAAGCCCCCGUCACCCCACUUCCGCUGCCUUUGUGUGGGGGUGGGGGCGUGUGGCGCUGAAGGAAAGCUGGGGUCCACGGGGACGGCGUCACUCCUUUUGUGCGGCCAAGUUGCAGGCGCGUUGUGUGCCGGUCCGAACUUGAGCUCACGAUUUGGGAUUAGAGCAAAUCCGAGUCUUUUUCUGCAUGCCUGCCCGCUCCCGGGCGCCCAGAGCCUGCUGGGUAACUGCCUAUUAUCCGCCGGUUCCACUCCAGUGCCCUCCCCAAUAAAACUUUUCAUAUCCUUAUAAACGAACUCGAUUGCUGUGUUAUAAACAUUUACACUGUGCUAACAGAUCAUCUCCGCACAUCAGAAUUGGCUAAAUUCCCUUUUCCAGAUGAAUAUAUUGAAGGAGAUUAGAGAUAUGAUAGCUUUUCAGAUUGCUGAACCCAGAGAAAUUAGUUUAGUGAGCAUUUACAGAGGCUAAAUUGGAACCAUUAAAUAGUGGAUUAAAUUGA